rnacentral:rRNA from 1 species
CCUACGGGUGGCAGCAGUGAGGAAUAUUGGUCAAUGGGCGGAAGCCUGAACCAGCCAAGUAGCGUGCAGGAUGACGGCCCUACGGGUUGUAAACUGCUUUUAUACGGGAAUAACUCGUCUUACGAGUAGGGCUUUGCAUGUACCGUAUGAAUAAGGACCGGCUAAUUCCGUGCCAGCAGCCGAGGUAAUACGGAAGGUCCGGGCGUUAUCCGGAUUGAUUGGGCUUAAGGGGAGCGUAGGCCGCAUGUCAAGCGAGCUGUGAAAUGUCCGGGCUCAACCCGGGCCUUGCAGCGCGAACUGGCGUGCUUGAGUCCGCUGGAGGCAGGCGGAAUUCGGCGUGUAGCGGUGAAAUGCUUAGAUAUGACGAAGAACCCCGAUUGCGAAGGCAGCUUGCUGCAGCGGAACUGACGCUGAUGCUCGAAAGCGCGGGUAUCGAACAGGAUUAGAUACCCUAGUAGUC